AUUGAACGCUGGCGGAAUGCUUUACACAUGCAAGUCGAACGGUAGAGGGGGCAACCCCUUGAGAGUGGCGAACGGGUGAGUAAUAUAUCGGAACGUGCCCAGUCGUGGGGAUAACGUAGCGAAAGUUACGCUAAUACCGCAUACGAUCUAAGGAUGAAAGCGGGGGAUCGCAAGACCUCGCGCGAUUGGAGCGGCCGAUAUCAGAUUAGGUAGUUGGUGAGGUAAAGGCUCACCAAGCCGACGAUCUGUAGCUGGUCUGAGAGGACGACCAGCCACACUGGGACUGAGACACGGCCCAGACUCCUACGGGAGGCAGCAGUGGGGAAUUUUUGGACAAUGGGCGCAAGCCUGAUCCAGCAAUGCCGCGUGCAGGAUGAAGGCCUCGGUUGUAAC
rnacentral:rRNA from 1 species